UUGUAGUCUGGAGAAGUGCUUUCCGCGCUGGACCGUGUAUAAGUCUCUUGGAACAGAGCGUCAUAGAGGGUGAGAAUCCCGUCUUUGACACGGACUACCAGUGCUUUGUGAUGCGCUCUCAAAGAGUCGAGUUGUUUGGGAAUGCAGCUCAAAAUGGGUGGUGAAUUCCAUCUAAAGCUAAAUAUUGGCGAGAGACCGAUAGCGAACAAGUACCGUGAGGGAAAGAUGAAAAGCACUUUGGAAAGAGAGUUAAACAGUACGUGAAAUUGCUGAAAGGGAAACGCUUGAAGUCAGUCGCGUCUUCCGGAACUCAGCCUUCCUUUUGGGUGGGGGACUUUCCGGUAAACGGGCCACCACCAAUUUCAACCGUCGAAAAAGGGUUGGGAAAAGGUGGCACUUUCGGGGGGGGUUAUAUUCCUCAUCCCCAUCGUCGGUGGGAUCGAGGAUCGCAGGCGCCGCAGGCAGGGGUUUCGCCCACUUUCGCGCUAAGAAUGCUGGAUUAAUGCCUUUAACCAACCGUCUGGAAACACGGACCAAGGANUCAANCAANCUGCGAUUGUUUGGUUGAAAAACCCAAGCGCGUAAUGAAGUUGAAAGUUAAAACUUCUGUCUUGAAGGGCAUCGACCCCCGGACCUGACGUUUUCUGACGAAUCGCGGUAGCAGGUUUGUUGGGACCCAAAGAUGGUGAAUAUGCUGAAUAGGGUGAAGCCGAGGAAACUCUG
rnacentral:rRNA from 1 species